rnacentral:rRNA from 1 species
AGCGAACGCUGGCGGCAGGCUUAACACAUGCAAGUCGAGCGGGCAUAGCAAUAUGUCAGCGGCAGACGGGUGAGUAACGCGUGGGGACGUACCUUUUGGUUCGGAACAACACAGGGAAACUUGUGCUAGUACCGGAUAAGCCCUUACGGGAAAGAUUUAUCGCCGAAAGAUCGGCCCGCGUCUGAUUAGCUAGUUGGUGAGGUAAUGGCUCACCAAGGCGACGAUCAGUAGCUGGUCUGAGAGGAUGAUCAGCCACAUUGGGACUGAGACACGGCCCAAACUCCUACGGGAGGCAGCAGUGGGGAAUAUUGGACAAUGGGCGCAAGCCUGAUCCAGCCAUGCCGCGUGAGUGAUGAAGGCCCUAGGGUUGUAAAGCUCUUUUGUGCGGGAAGAUAAUGACGGUACCGCAAGAAUAAGCCCCGGCUAACUUCGUGCCAGCCGCCGCAGUAA